ACAAUUGGAAACAGUUGCUAAGACUGGAUAGGAAAAGUAAAGGCAUCUUUACUUUUUUAAAAGACCUUCUUUGGAGGUAUGCUUAAGGAGGGGCUUGCGACACAUUAGUUAGUUGGCAGGGUAAAGGCCUACCAAGACUAUGAUGUGUAGCUGGACUGAGAGGUUGAACAGCCACAUUGGGACUGAGACACGGCCCAAACUCCUACGGGAGGCAGCAGUAGGGAAUUUUCGGCAAUGGAGGAAACUCUGACCGAGCAACGCCGCGUGAACGAUGAAGUACCUCGGUAUGUAAAGUUCUUUUAUUAAGGAAGAAAAAAGAGUGGAAAAACUCCCUUGACGGUACUUAAUGAAUAAGCCCCGGCUAAUUAUGUGCCAGCAGCCGCGGUAAUACAUAAGGGGCGAGCGUUAUCCGGAAUUAUUGGGCGUAAAGGGUGCGUAGGCGGUUUAAUAAGUCUAUAGUUUAAUUUCAGUGCUUAACGCUGUUGUGCUAUAGAAACUGUUUUACUAGAGUGAGAUAGAGGCAAGCGGAAUUCCAUGUGUAGCGGUAAAAUGCGUAAAUAUAUGGAGGAACACCAGAGGCGUAGGCGGCUUGCUGGGUCUUUACUGACGCUGAGGCACGAAAGCGUGGGGAGCAAACAGGAUUAGAUACCCUGGUAGUCCACGCCGUAAACGAUGAGUACUAAGUGUCGGGUAAAACCGGUACUGAAGUUAACACAUUAAGUACUCCGCCUGAGUAGUACGUACGCAAGUAUGAAACUUAAAGGAAUUGACGGGACUCCGCACAAGCGGUGGAUCAUGUUGUUUAAUUCGAAGAUACACGAAAAACCUUACCAGGUCUUGACAUUUUCUUGCGAAGUUAUAGAAAUAUAAUGGAGGUUAUCAGGAAAACAGGUGGUGCAUGGUUGUCGUCAGCUCGUGUCGUGAGAUGUUAGGUUAAGUCCUAAAACGAGCGCAACCCUUGUCGUUAAUUGCCAGCAUGUAAUGAUGGGGACUUUAACGAGACUGCCAAUGAAAAAUUGGAGGAAGGUGGGGAUUACGUCAAAUCAUCAUGCCCCUUAUGAUCUGGGCUACAAACGUGAUACAAUGGUUGAUACAAAGAGUAGCUGAAACGCGAGUUCUUAGCCAAUCUCACAAAAUCAAUCUCAGUUCGGAUUGAAGUCUGCAACUCGACUUCAUGAAGUUGGAAUCGCUAGUAAUCGCGAAUCAGCAUGUCGCGGUGAAUACGUUCUCGGGGUUUGUACACACCGCCCGUCAAACCACGAAAGUUGGCAAUACCCCAAAGCGGUCGCCUAACUUCGUAAGAAGAAGGAUCCGUCUAAGGUAGGGUCGAUAAUUGGGGUUAAGUCGUAACAAGGUAUCCCUACCGGAAGGUGGGGAUGGAUCACCUCCUUUCUA
rnacentral:rRNA from 1 species